GCGAGCUUGCCUAGAUGAUUUUAGUGCUUGCACUAAAUGAAACUAGAUACAAGCGAGCGGCGGACGGGUGAGUAACACGUGGGUAACCUGCCCAAGAGACUGGGAUAACACCUGGAAACAGAUGCUAAUACCGGAUAACAACACUAGACGCAUGUCUAGAGUUUGAAAGAUGGUUCUGCUAUCACUCUUGGAUGGACCUGCGGUGCAUUAGCUAGUUGGUAAGGUAACGGCUUACCAAGGCAAUGAUGCAUAGCCGAGUUGAGAGACUGAUCGGCCACAUUGGGACUGAGACACGGCCCAAACUCCUACGGGAGGCAGCAGUAGGGAAUCUUCCACAAUGGACGAAAGUCUGAUGGAGCAACGCCGCGUGAGUGAAGAAGGGUUUCGGCUCGUAAAGCUCUGUUGGUAGUGAAGAAAGAUAGAGGUAGUAACUGGCCUUUAUUUGACGGUAAUUACUUAGAAAGUCACGGCUAACUACGUGCCAGCAGCCGCGGUAAUACGUAGGUGGCAAGCGUUGUCCGGAUUUAUUGGGCGUAAAGCGAGUGCAGGCGGUUCAAUAAGUCUGAUGUGAAAGCCUUCGGCUCAACCGGAGAAUUGCAUCAGAAACUGUUGAACUUGAGUGCAGAAGAGGAGAGUGGAACUCCAUGUGUAGCGGUGGAAUGCGUAGAUAUAUGGAAGAACACCAGUGGCGAAGGCGGCUCUCUGGUCUGCAACUGACGCUGAGGCUCGAAAGCAUGGGUAGCGAACAGGAUUAGAUACCCUGGUAGUCCAUGCCG
rnacentral:rRNA from 1 species